rnacentral:tRNA from 1 species
GGAUCGUUGCCGGAGUGGCUAAACGGGCUCGCCUGGAAAGCGAGAGCUCCUUAGGGGGCAUGGAGGUUCGAACCAUUCACGAUCCGCCA